rnacentral:lncRNA from 10 species
CCAUUUGUAUGUCGUAUUUUGGGAAAUGUCUGUUCAAGUCCUUUGAUCAUUUUAAAACUCUGGUUAUUUGUUUUCUUCCUACUGAGUUGUUUGAGUUUCUUAUCUACACUUUAGAUCAUAACAACCCCUUCUCAGAUACAUGGUUUGCAAAUGUAUUCUCUCACUCUGUGGAGUCUCACUCUGUAGCCCAAGCUGGAGUGGCGUGAUCUCGACUCACUGCAACCUCCGCCUCCUGGGAUCAAGUGAUUCUCGUGCCUCAGCCUCCUGAGUAGCCGGGACUACAGUUGUCCCUUGGUGUGGGAUUGCUUCCAGUACCUCUGUGUGUAACAAAAGCUGCACCAUUCAAGUCCCACAGUUGCCCUGCGAAACCUCUGUAUAUGAAAAGUUGGCCCUCCAUGUACAUGGGUUUCCCAUCCU